rnacentral:rRNA from 1 species
GUACACACCGCCCGUCACACCAUGGGAGUGGGAUGCAAAAGAAGUAGUUAGCUUAACCUUCGGGAGGGCGAUUACCACUUUGUGUUUCAUGACUGGGGUGAAGUCGUAACAAGGUAACCGUAGGUGAACCUGCAGAAGGAUCA